rnacentral:rRNA from 1 species
GAUCCUGGCUCAGGAUGAACGCUGGCGGCGNGCCUAACACAUGCAAGUCGAGCGAUUCUCUUCGGAGAAGAGCGGCGGACGGGUGAGUAACGCGUGGGUAACCUGCCCUGUACACACGGAUAACAUACCGAAAGGUAUGCUAAUACGGGAUAACAUAAGAAAUUCGCAUGUUUUUCUUAUCAAAGCUCCGGCGGUACAGGAUGGACCCGCGUCUGAUUAGCUAGUUGGUGAGGUAACGGCUCACCAAGG